CCCCUUCCUUUGUCAAUUUAGCAUUGUUACUCAUCUCUUAGAGAUUUCGUCUCCCUUAUACCUUAUAUAUCUUCGACACUUUUUUUUUCCUUAAAUACUCUUCUCUUUUACUUUCUCGAUUACCUCAUCCUCUGGCUUUUCUUAGCUACUCUAAUAAACUAAUCCUUAUUUGGUACUUCUUAACCACACACUAAUGUAAACAAAACAUGAGGAUCCUCUUUACAUUCCCAAACAGAAAACAAGCAGGCAUAAAAAUUCACUCAAUCAAAUAAACAUUUUAAUUCAAUCAAAACAAUCAAUCAUCAAGCUCAAGCAAAACACAUAAUCAAUCAUUCAAACAACAAUUUUUGUUUUUUCAUAAAAACUUUUUAUGAAACUGAUUUUCAAAAAUCUGACCCUCCAUUGACGCUGAGAUCGGAGCUGCCGUACGUUGUGUUUCGUUUGAUCACGUCUAAGUGGGGAGAGAAAGCAAACAUCACAUAUCGUCACCAUUCAACAUUGGUUUGAUUAGGAGUGAAAGAAGAAAACAGUGUCAAGUAGUGGAUUUGGGUAUCCGUUUCCCGAUACGUCCAAACGAAUUAAGGCAAUUUGAUUACGGAUAUGGAUAGCCCUUGUUGCCAAGAUUUCAGAACAGUUUUCGGAUUCUCAAUCAGAGAUCUCGCUGCAAAGAAGCAAUUGCAAUCGACGGUUUGUAAAACGGAGAUUCAACUUGGGUGUUUUUUAAGGCUCAUAUCUAUCGAAGCAGAGAGAAUAAGUUGACGUGAAGGGUGUCUUUGGAAAGCUCAUAUUGUCAAGAAUGCACCGCAUGUGUUGGAGAUUAAAUCGAGGUUAUAUUCAAGAAGUUACGAGUGUUUCUUUCUGGCCAAAUAACUGCAGAAACUGUCCAAAUCUGUGCUAAGUAUGAACCAGAAAACAGUUCCGAGAGAUGUGAUUGAUGGCAACGUUUGGAGGUCGAAACAGUUUUUGAUCGGGACGAAAUUUGGUGGAGAGCUUCAUGGGACUACUGGAUAGAUAAUCAACGGUGGGAUUACGUUUAUAACGGUUAGUUCUUGACUUAUGUAUAUGUUUCCGAGACAGUUUUGUGUGAAGUAAAUUGUGACGAGUUUGUGUUGUUGGUUGGGUAAAUGCGCUCGGUUUAAGCUGAAGCUUUGUAGGAGCUUUAAUGACUCAUGAAUUCAAGUCCCCGUUGAUGGAGAACCAAGGUAGAACUUAAGAUCGUGUGGUUGCAGUAAAGAUAUUAAGUGUGCCUAAUGAAAAGAAAGGAGAAGUGAGUCUUCGUCUUCAAUAGGCUAAGGUGAGUAAGCUUCAGGAGUUGUGUGCAAUAUUUUUGUUCGUGUUUGAAGUUUAUAGAAAAUGUUUUGGCAAGAUCGGAUGAAUAAUAUACUGUCUUAGCCUGUAUGACGGGACGGGUGUUACACUUAUUAAGAAUUCUUUGUUUUUAUGUUCUCAUGCACUCAAGAGAAUUUUUGAAAUUGUUAUUUAGAUGUAACCCCAACAAGGAUUAAGGGAAAUAGGGAAUGAGCCAUUUUUGGUAUAUUAUACUA